rnacentral:rRNA from 1 species
GACGAACGCUGGCGGCGUGCUUAACACAUGCAAGUCGAACGGAAAGGCCCCUUUGGGGGUACUCGAGUGGCGAACGGGUGAGUAACACGUGAGUAACCUGCCCUUGACUUCGGGAUAACUUCAGGAAACUGGGGCUAAUACCGGCUAGGAAUCCUCGCUGCCUGGUGGGGGUUGGAAAGCUUUGGUGGGUUUGGGUGGACUUGCGGCUUAUCAGCCUGCUGGUGGGGUAGUGGCUUACCUAGGCUUUGACGGGUAGCCGGCCCGGGGGGGCGACCGGCCACAUUGGGGCUGAGAUACGGCCCAGACUCCUACGGGGAGCAGCAGGUGGGAAUAUUUCACAAUGGGCGGGAGCCUGAUGCAGCAACGCCGCGUGCGGGAUGACGGCCUUCGGGUUGUAAACCGCUUUCAGCAGGGGCGAAGCUUGUGGUGACGGUACCUGCAGAAGAAGCACCGGCUAACUACGUG